rnacentral:lncRNA from 1 species
GUUUAUUGAAUCAAAUGCCCAAAUCAUGAAAUCAACCAAUCCCAUUUCUGAUUUUUCCCAAAUCGUAGAACGCUGCUGCCUACUGGAAGUCUGCAAAAGCCCUUUUCCAAUUUCUUCAAUUUUCCUUCGCCACAAUCGUCCCUGCCCUGCGCGGCUGCACUGGCCACAUAGUACACAUGAGAAACGACAGUGUCGCUUGCCAGAUUGCUGGUUCGCCCUACUCAAAUAUGGUCGAUUUUUAUAUUCUUGUAUAGUUUAUCUUUGUGACUCUGUGUGUUUGUUUAAUGGGUUAAUUUUAUUUGGUGCUUAAUAGCUUAAGUAAUGUAAAAUAAUGUAAAAUUUGUCUCUAAAAUUUGGAUUUAAAGGUUUUUUCUGACCCCGAUUCACGUCACAUGUAAGUGUAAUUAUAACUCAUAAGUUCACCAAAUUGUUUUCACUUUUCAGUGUCUAUUGACUAUUAUGAUUUAUGUAUUUAAUUAGAAAUGGGUUUUUUGCCCAAAUUUGUAUUAUGUAUUUAAUUAGCAAGUACAAUGGUUCACUGGGUCGGAUUAGUUUUGGUCUAACACUUCCUCUUCUGACUUGUUCUGCCCAAAUUUUUUCACUAUAAUGAACGAGAAAAUAGGUCUGUACCUGCACACGAGAGUGACAAGACACUCCUUCCUUCGCCCGUUCGCCGUUUCGUUGCCUCUUUGUAUAAUAGUAUGUGCCAAGUGCUAACUGCUAAAUUGGAAAUUUUAAUUUUAUUGUAUGUGUUAACUGCUGAACACCAUGUUUAAAAUUAAGGGUAUCAACUUGGCGUGAAAUUGACAUCUCCCCAUAGACACUGAUAGAGUGUCCAAAUUUGGAGCAGAAUCGCAGAAUUCUUUGUCCACUUGGCGACCAAGUUCUUUGGUUCGAGCCAAUAUUAAUGCCAAAGGAUUCCUUUCUCAGGUCAGUGACUUAAGUUAAUGUUAACUAUGUUAUGAUUUAUUUAUUUGGGAAUUAAAAAUUUGCGAAUUGUGAUUUAUGAAUUAUGAUAAGUAAUUUAUGUUUUAUGAGUUAUGAUUAUUGAUUCG